UUGCAUUAUAUGAAAAUCAAUUCCCUGCUAAAAAUUUUUCAUGGAAUUCCAUAGUAUUCCGUGCUGUUUCUCAUGGAAUCCCAUGGUGAAGACACGGAACUCCAUGGAGACUCCAUGAAGACUCCAUGGAGGAGGCACGGAACUCCAUGGUGACUCCUUGGGUUUCCGUGGAGACUGCAUGGGAUUCCAUGGUGGCAGCAGGAGAUUCCGUGGUGGCUACAUGGAAUUUCAAGGGAGUGUAACGGAAUAGCAGAGGACAUGCAUUGGAACACCGUGAAACACUGGAGACCACCACAAGAAUGAACAUGGUAAUCUGUAAGCCUUUGAUCAUUGACAAUCAGCAACUAUUUGCUGUUUCGUUAUGCAUCAUAGAAUUAAGUUGAAUUACUCACCGAAGUUCACGAGUGAGGGCCACUAAAAUGUUUCAUGUCAUCAGUUAUCACAGAAUAAGUCUUCAUUAGUGCACUGAAAUUUCUACAACCAUGGCAUUCCCAAGACAAUGCCCACUAUUUAACGAUAAUUUAAUAAUUGUACCAGUAGGUAGCAAUUACUUUUCACACAGAGAAUGUUUUCAUUUAAAAUAUGAUUAACUCAGAGAUUCGCUAUGGUUGACAGAGAUGUAAUAAUAAUUUGCUGCUUAUACUCUGUUUAAGACAACUGAAAUAACCGCAAUAGUUUGUCAAAAAACAGAAAACACGCAGCUUCUUCGAACCUGUAGGUACAGCUUUAAAGUCUGUCAAUUAGAGACCAAACGUCUGUGUUUUGCAAGAUUAGUUUAGACACUAACUAUUCAAUAGGAUCGCCUUUACUGAAGCUCAACCGUCAUACUUCCAAAUCUCCUGUGUGAAACCAACAUUGAAUUGUAGAAAGAACCGAAUAGCGGUAAUAGCAAAACCAAUGAGAAUUGAGUUGUAUCUAUCAGAAUUUUUUCAUUCUAUUUCUACGCAUGGCCAAAAUAAAAAUUUGAAGAUCGAUUACCAAGAGUCCAUUGCGAUACACUGCUGGCUUACUUUCAGGUUAAUCAAAAUUCACCAACUUCGAGGUAACAUUACUUUCGUAACGAAGAAGACUCGAAUUCGAGCUGAUACUAAUUAAAUCACAUAAAAAAAUUAAAAUUUGCAUUACUGGCAGUGAUAACCAACAACUCAUCUUGUGUUUACAAAGUGAUUCAGUUCCGACUCCAAAACAAAACCUGCGUUGCAAUCCUGCCGGCCUGCCCUGUUUCAUGUUGAAAUUGUAUAAAAAUAAAAAUAAAAGCAAGAAUAGAACGCAAAUGUUAAAGCGUGUGAAGUAUGAAACAUUAUCGGCGUUACGCAUUUCAGUAAUAAAUAAGCGAAUGAGUUUUUAUAGAUCAUGCAGAUUUAAAUAAAAAAUCCUCAAUUCAAUUCGGCAAGUCAGGAGAUGUGCCGCCCCGCCCUGCCUCGCCCUGCCCUGUCGGUAUUUUGAGGUUAGAUUAUCAACGAGGCGUGAAUCGUCAGGCUCAAUGAAGCUCUCGCAAACCAUACAGUAAUUCUCAGAAAUUUAUAUAUUUCUUGACUUCCUGCUUUCGCUACAUCACGCCAAAUCUGAGUUGAAUGCAAGGGCCUUGAACUGAAUCUAGAGCUUUCAUAAAAACACACCGAGACAUUUACCUGCCUUGUUCAGCUGCAGCAAUCGCCAUUUGUUUCCUAUCAUCUGGCAGUUCCUUUGAUCUUAUCGAACAGCCAUUCGCAGGGAAUUAGUGGCAACCUUUAAACCAUCUAGAUGCAAUUAAGCUUCCCAGACAGAAACCAAAA